UUAAGCGACUAAGCGUACACGGUGGAUGCCCUGGCAGUCAGAGGCGAUGAAGGGCGUGCUAAUCUGCGAUAAGCGCCGGUAAGGUGAUAUGAACCGUUAUAACCGGCGAUACCCGAAUGGGGAAACCCAGUGUGAUUCGUCACACUAUCAUUAACUGAAUCCAUAGGUUAAUGAGGCGAACCGGGGGAACUGAAACAUCUAAGUACCCCGAGGAAAAGAAAUCAACCGAGAUUCCCCCAGUAGCGGCGAGCGAACGGGGAGGAGCCCAGAGCCUGAAUCAGCAUGUGUGUUAGUGGAAGCGUCUGGAAAGGCGCGCGAUACAGGGUGACAGCCCCGUACACAAAAGCGCAUGUGCUGUGAGCUCGAUGAGUAGGGCGGGACACGUGGUAUCCUGUCUGAAUAUGGGGGGACCAUCCUCCAAGGCUAAAUACUCCUGACUGACCGAUAGUGAACCAGUACCGUGAGGGAAAGGCGAAAAGAACCCCGGCGAGGGGAGUGAAAAAGAACCUGAAACCGUGUACGUACAAGCAGUGGGAGCNNGUGACUGCGUACCUUUUGUAUAAUGGGUCAGCGACUUAUAUUCUGUAGCAAGGUUAACCGUAUAGGGGAGCCGGAGGGAAACCGAGUCUUAAUUGGGCGUUAAGUUGCAGGGUAUAGACCCGAAACCCGGUGAUCUAGCCAUGGGCAGGUUGAAGGUUGGGUAACACUAACUGGAGGACCGAACCGACUAAUGUUGAAAAAUUAGCGGAUGACCUGUGGCUGGGGGUGAAAGGCCAAUCAAACCGGGAGAUAGCUGGUUCUCCCCGAAAGCUAUUUAGGUAGCGCCUCGUGAAUUCAUCUCCGGGGGUAGAGCACUGUUUCGGCUAGGGGGCCAUCCCGGCUUACCAACCCGAUGCAAACUGCGAAUACCGGAGAAUGUUAUCACGGGAGACACACGGCGGGUGCUAACGUCCGUCGUGAAGAGGGAAACAACCCAGACCGCCAGCUAAGGUCCCAAAGUCAUGGUUAAGUGGGAAACGAUGUGGGAAGGCCCAGACAGCCAGGAUGUUGGCUUAGAAGCAGCCAUCAUUUAAAGAAAGCGUAAUAGCUCACUGGUCGAGUCGGCCUGCGCGGAAGAUGUAACGGGGCUAAACCAUGCACCGAAGCUGCGGCAGCGANNGUUGGGUAGGGGAGCGUUCUGUAAGCCUGUGAAGGUGUGUCGUGAGGCAUGCUGGAGGUAUCAGAAGUGCGAAUGCUGACAUAAGUAACGAUAAAGCGGGUGAAAAGCCCGCUCGCCGGAAGACCAAGGGUUCCUGUCCAACGUUAAUCGGGGCAGGGUGAGUCGACCCCUAAGGCGAGGCCGAAAGGCGUAGUCGAUGGGAAACGGGUUAAUAUUCCCGUACUUGGUGUUACUGCGAAGGGGGGACGGAGAAGGCUAUGUUGGCCGGGCGACGGUUGUCCCGGUUUAAGCGUGUAGGUGUGUGUUCCAGGUAAAUCCGGUUCACUUUAACACUGAGGCGUGACGACGAGGCACUACGGUGCUGAAGCAACAAAUGCCCUGCUUCCAGGAAAAGCCUCUAAGCAUCAGGUAACACGAAAUCGUACCCCAAACCGACACAGGUGGUCAGGUAGAGAAUACCAAGGCGCUUGAGAGAACUCGGGUGAAGGAACUAGGCAAAAUGGUGCCGUAACUUCGGGAGAAGGCACGCUGACACGUAGGUGAAGUGAUUUACUCAUGGAGCUGAAGUCAGUCGAAGAUACCAGCUGGCUGCAACUGUUUAUUAAAAACACAGCACUGUGCAAACACGAAAGUGGACGUAUACGGUGUGACGCCUGCCCGGUGCCGGAAGGUUAAUUGAUGGGGUCAGCGCAAGCGAAGCUCCUGAUCGAAGCCCCGGUAAACGGCGGCCGUAACUAUAACGGUCCUAAGGUAGCGAAAUUCCUUGUCGGGUAAGUUCCGACCUGCACGAAUGGCGUAAUGAUGGCCAGGCUGUCUCCACCCGAGACUCAGUGAAAUUGAACUCGCUGUGAAGAUGCAGUGUACCCGCGGCAAGACGGAAAGACCCCGUGAACCUUUACUAUAGCUUGACACUGAACAUUGAGCCUUGAUGUGUAGGAUAGGUGGGAGGCUUUGAAGUGUGGACGCCAGUCUGCAUGGAGCCGACCUUGAAAUACCACCCUUUAAUGUUUGAUGUUCUAACGUGGACCCGUAAUCCGGGUUGCGGACAGUGUCUGGUGGGUAGUUUGACUGGGGCGGUCUCCUCCUAAAGAGUAACGGAGGAGCACGAAGGUUGGCUAAUCCUGGUCGGACAUCAGGAGGUUAGUGCAAUGGCAUAAGCCAGCUUGACUGCGAGCGUGACGGCGCGAGCAGGUGCGAAAGCAGGUCAUAGUGAUCCGGUGGUUCUGAAUGGAAGGGCCAUCGCUCAACGGAUAAAAGGUACUCCGGGGAUAACAGGCUGAUACCGCCCAAGAGUUCAUAUCGACGGCGGUGUUUGGCACCUCGAUGUCGGCUCAUCACAUCCUGGGGCUGAAGUAGGUCCCAAGGGUAUGGCUGUUCGCCAUUUAAAGUGGUACGCGAGCUGGGUUUAGAACGUCGUGAGACAGUUCGGUCCCUAUCUGCCGUGGGCGCUGGAGAACUGAGGGGGGCUGCUCCUAGUACGAGAGGACCGGAGUGGACGCAUCACUGGUGUUCGGGUUGUCAUGCCAAUGGCACUGCCCGGUAGCUAAAUGCGGAAGAGAUAAGUGCUGAAAGCAUCUAAGCACGAAACUUGCCCCGAGAUGAGUUCUCCCUGAGACUUAGAGUCUCCUGAAGGAACGUUGAAGACGACGACGUUGAUAGGCCGGGUGUGUAAGCGCAGCGAUGCGUUGAGCUAACCGGUACUAAUGAACCGUGAGGCUUAACCUU
rnacentral:rRNA from 1 species